AUAAAAGUAAUGAUGGGGUAAAGUAAACGGUAUGAGCUUUCCAGGGAGGAAACGUCUUAGACUGAAAGCGUUUCUAUCGCAUUGAUCGUUGAAGGUUCACCCCUGAACUUCCGGACUGAAACCUUUGGGUAAGUAGGUCUGGACGGAGGCUCCCGCCGUUAAAAGGGAGGGGGUAUAAGGAAGAAUAAAGUCCCGUACCUACUGAAAAGUGGGGUCUGCUUAGACCCAAAUAGGGUGGUACCGCGAAGCACUUUCGUCCCUUCA
rnacentral:ncRNA from 1 species